rnacentral:rRNA from 1 species
UACGGGGGGGCAAGCGUUGUUCGGAAUUACUGGGCGUAAAGGGCCAGUAGGCGGCCAACUAAGUCGGAUGUGAAAUCCCCAGGCUUAACCUGGGAACUGCAUCCGAUACUGGAUGGCUUGAAUUCGGGAGAGGGAUGCAGAAUUCCAGGUGUAGCGGUGAAAUGCGUAGAUAUCUGGAGGAAUACCGGUGGCGAAGGCGGCAUCCUGGACCGGCAUUGACGCUGAGGAGCGAAAGCCAGGGGAGCAAAGCGGG